rnacentral:rRNA from 1 species
UACGUAGGGUGCAAGCGUUAUCCGGAAUUAUUGGGCGUAAAGAGCUCGUAGGCGGUUUGUCACGUCUGCUGUGAAAACUGGAGGCUCAACCUCCAGCCUGCAGUGGGUACGGGCAGACUAGAGUGCGGUAGGGGAGAUUGGAAUUCCUGGUGUAGCGGUGGAAUGCGCAGAUAUCAGGAGGAACACCAGCGGCGAAGGCGGCGCUCUGGGCCGGAACUGACGCUGAGGAGCGAAAGCGUGGGGAGCGAACAGG